AUGUAAUCCUAAAUGGCCCGAAAU
rnacentral:siRNA from 1 species